UAAUAAAUUGGCUAAAAAUCAUACCUUAUGACCAAUUCUUGAUUUUUUAGAACCAACUUCUAGAUAUCCUUUUCGGCGAAGUUUUUUAGGAGCUCCCUUACUUUUCGUGUGUUUCGGGUCCAAGAUGAUUUCGCCAACAAUUUUUCCUGCUUCAUCAAAGCUUUGGAAGCCCACAGUCAUAGACUUCAACAUCGACGACUCCGCUGUUUGGAAUUCAAUCCAGUCCAUAAUUUCAUGUGAUCGUGACUCGUCAUGUGCUACCAAGUCAGCUAAUUUCGUAAAAGCAUUGCACAUUUGCUCAUAUCUAACUUGGUCUGGAGUACUAAUCCAACCAUGGUAAUUGAUCGAAACCCUCAUGUACGGUCUGUUCACAUCCCUCCUCCAUCUCUUCAAAAUGUACUUAUCGGGAACUAAUUUCACUUGAUUUC
rnacentral:lncRNA from 1 species